rnacentral:rRNA from 1 species
GGCGAACGCUAGCGGCGGGCCUAACACAUGCAAGUCGAGCGCAUGACUUCGGUCAUGAGCGGCGGACGGGUGAGUAACGCGUAGGUAAUCAACCUUCUGGUGGGGAAUAACCCAGGGAAACUUGGGCUAAUACCGCAUAUGGCCUUGGGUCAAAGCAGCAAUGCGCCAGAAGACGAGCCUGCGUCCCAAUUAUUAUUCCUAGUUGGCGGGGUAACGGCCCACCAAGGGUACGAUGGUAGCUGGUCUGAGAGGAUGAUCAGCCACACUGGAACUGAGACACGGUCCAGACUCCUACGGGAGGCAGCAGUGGGGAAUAUUGCGCAAUGGGCGAAAGCCUGACGCAGCCACGCCGCGUGAGUGAUGAAGGCCUUCGGGUCGUAAAGCUCUGUCGGAGGGGAAGGAAG